rnacentral:lncRNA from 10 species
AUGAUGAUAGUUUUUGUUGGGCGUAGUGUUUCCCCAUCCCUGGGUUCUGUUCAUUUUUUUUCUUUUUUAAAAAAUUUCUUUCUUUUCACCUGAUUCUUUGUAAGUGUGCAAUGUUUCUUUUCUUCUUUCAUUAUCUGCCUUAUCAGAUCUUUAAUUUUUUUUUUUUUUUUUUGAGACAAGGUUUGGCUCUAUCACCCAGACUGGAGCACAGUGGCGUGAUCACGGCUCAAUGCAACCUCCGCCUCCUGGGUUCAAGCCAUCCUCCCACCCCAGCCUCCUGAGUACCUGGGACUACAGGUGCACACCAUCACACCCGGCUAAUUUUUGUGUUUUUUGUAGGGAUAGAGUUUUGCCAUGCUGCCCAGGCUGGUCUUGAACUCGUGAGCUCAAAGCAAUCUGCCCGCCUUGGCCUCCCAAAGCAGGUCUUUAAUUUGUUGCCAUUCCCGAGUGUAGUAGAAAAUGGCCAGGGUCCUCUCCUUUCCUUGGAUUCCUUCUCUUUUCUUUCCAUGUUCAUAUUAUUGAUUGUUCCCCAGGUCUGUUGACUACUCUCUCCUGAAGACCUCUCCUCAUUUUUCUUAACAGUUGG